UACGUAGGGUGCGAGCGUUGUCCGGAAUUAUUGGGCGUAAAGAGCUUGUAGGCGGUUUGUCGCGUCUGCCGUGAAAAUCCGGGGCUCAACCCCGGACUUGCGGUGGGUACGGGCAGACUAGAGUGUGGUAGGGGAGACUGGAAUUCCUGGUGUAGCGGUGAAAUGCGCAGAUAUCAGGAGGAACACCGAUGGCGAAGGCAGGUCUCUGGGCCACUACUGACGCUGAGAAGCGGAAGCGUGGGGAGCGAACAGG
rnacentral:rRNA from 1 species